CCCCCCAAGCCCGCAGGGAGGAUUAUUAUCCUCAUUUUACAGGUGACAGAAACAAAGUUCAGAGAGGUUAAAUAUCUCACUCAGGCCCACACAGCCCCCAAACUGUGGAGCUGGGAUUCAAACCCAGGGCUGCCUAAUUGCCAGCAAGGUUCGUGCGCUCUGGGAUGGGGUGAGUGGCCCACUUUCCAGAGGCCCCAGGACUAGGGCAUUCCCAGGCACGCUCCAUGUGUGCAUCUGGCCUCUGGGGGCCCAGGCCUCCCAACUCUCACAAACACCCUUCAGACGUUUCCGGAUACUUCCCACCCCUGCUCUGGGGUCUUUGGGAAAACCGGGUUGGCUUUGAAGGGGCCCCCCCCAGGCCCAUCAGCAUCUCUACUAUUUCACACUUUCCCUUCAGGAUCAUCAGAUGAGGAACAGCUGGGCCCGCAGAUUUAUUAGGGUUUUGCAAGAGAUUCCAUCCGCUCUUCCAGCUAAACUCCACCCCACUCCCAUUAGCAGCCUCUGGAAAGCAAAGGGAGUUCCUGUCUUGGUGCCCCAAACCGCUUAGCUGGGGUGAGUUUUGCCUCUCCCACUCCUCACAGCAAUCGGGAUCCAGCCAUACAUCUCCCCAGAAACACCAGAGACAAAGAGGAAGAAAAAGAGAGAGAAGAGUGAGACAGAGAAAGAGAUCAGGUUUGUCCUGACCCUUAAUCAACUAGAAGUGGCCGUCAUCUUGGAUACACGCGAGGGAAGCUCCAGCUAGCCUGGACUGGAAAUAGCACCGCAUUUUCAAUACUCAGACAUUUCCUUCUGAGGGGAGGGUCUGGUGUUGGGGCUCACGUUCUCCUUGGACUGAAUCCCCAGAAACCUAAUGCAAGGCCUCACACUGUCUUUUUGUAAUCAUGCUCACAACUUGGUGUUGGAAGGGAGUUGAAUGUAUUGAAGAGUCAGCCAUUCUGUGCCAUGAAAUAGGAAAACUCUAGCAACCUAAAACUCUCGAGGCCCCGAGGCUUUCAGGGAGUUCUAGUGUCGCCCUCCCCUGGGGCCAGCUUGCCACGGGGCUGUGCACACAGUAGGCUUUCAUGAGCACUCUUGCCCUCUCCUCCUUCCUGGGGUAGGCCCCAAGCGCUUAAGGUUAUUAUAACAGGUCAAGUCUCACUCACCAAUUUGUUUAACCUCACACCAUGUUGGAUAUAAAUUCCUUAAUCUAAAUAACGGUCACUCAUUUUCCCCCUGCCCUGAAACAACAGGCAUUUCAUUCACUCCAGCUGGCAGUGCCUGGCAGACUGGCUAACUGGCUCUUAUGUAUGGGCUGAAACGUGCUGCGGCUUGUCCCUGCUCCAUCUCUCCUCCUCUUCAGCUUUUCUACAAGCCACAUGCAAAAAUCUGCCCCAUUACUCGAUUAUCGCAUUUCAUAUGAAAUUAGGUAUUGCAGGUCUCAUGUUAUUCACUUAGCUUGGCGCAGACCGAGGGCAUGACUCAGAGGCACUCCCAGUUUCACCUCCUUCCAGCCAUUGCUCCUCCUUUAUCCUGACCCCUGGGACACCCUGUCCUGCCAGGACACCCGUCUUCCUCCUGAGGCUUCUGUUAAACCACACUCUCAGGCCCCUUAGCAGGACAGAGCAUUUCCGACCAGCUUCAGUUCCACCCUUUUGAACCCUGACCCGCCAGUGUCUCCUGGAAGUAUCCAGAUGAAUGAUCUCCAUUUGCCUCCCUGAUGGUGUGGCCCGCAGCCUUGUGGACCAGCCCUGUGCUUACCUCGGCCCUGGCGGCUUUUUCAUUCUUCUCCCUGUCACUAGACUAAUGGUUUCUCUAAAAAGCUCCAACCCUCCAGGCUGCAGUGUCAGCAGCUCUGGGUGGCCCAGCACACACUUCCUCCAGGUACACGUGAGCGUGCUAAAAAUCCUGGUCCCACCCACACAUCCUGGUCUGGUAGCUUCCCCCGUCCCACUUUGCAGCCUUCACAUUCUCAACUCCCACAUUUACAUUUCAUCAGAGUCAACCUCAGGCUCUCUGUGAUCCCCUCAUCAAUCCGCAGUGAUGUUUUUGGCUAUACCCCCUGCCCCUGGAAAUGAUUUCCCACCAUUCCAGGGGCAGACACACGUGGACCUCCUUUUCUUCCUGGCACACUUUCCCUUCUGUGCCCAACUGUCUCCAGAGCUGUCAGGAAAUGCAUUUGGGUUUUAUUUGCUUAUUCAGCAAGGUUGUCUGAGUACCUACUAUGCAUAAGACCAGAUCUUUUACCUUCAGAAUUUAUAACAUAGAAGGAGAGGUGAAGAAAAAAAAAAAAAAAGUAGUAAUAACAUGAGAGACAGUGCCUCUUAUGAGAGAGGGAGAGGAAAGCAGGACACUGGUGAGACUUAAUCUCUACAUCCACUCUGGGAAUUCUGGCUUUUCAUGUCUGAAUGCCAAGGACCCCAUGGAAACAGUGUAAAGGACUUGGUUCUGAUGAUUGAAUCUCAGGAGGCUCAGUGAGGCUCUUAAAGAAUGAAUCAGUUGUCCUUCUGCUGUCCACCUGAAACUAUCACAACAUUGUUAAUCUUCUAUACUCCAAUAUAAAGUAAAAAGUAAAAAAAAAGGUUCUUCCCUAUGGACCCGGAAUUCACCUUUAGCUAGAAGAGAGUGAAGGAAUCCAGGUUGCAAGACCCAGGUUGCCUUUUACAACAGUGAGCUGAAUCAGCUUCCUAAGAAAGGCUUCCCUUAAUUUGGGGGUUCCCUUUGGCAAUAAGCCCUCUUAAUUGCUCUAAAAUUCACAUGACUGUUUGAAGCAAAAUUAUAACAUUGUCUUGUGGGUUUUAUAAUAUAUGUAGAUGAAAUACAUAUGAUAACUGUAGCGUAAGGAAUGGGGGUAAGAGGUAAUAAACCUCCGUGGUUGUGAGGUUUCUACAUUUUACUUGAAAUAGUAACUCUAAGUGGACCGUGAAAAGUUAAGGAUGUAUGUUGUAAUCCCUGGGGCAAUCAUUAAAAAAUUAAUGCAAAGAAGUAUAGCUACAAAUCCAAUAGAUAUAUUUAUAUGGAAUUCUAAAAAUCCAAAAGAAGGCAGGGAAGGAGGAACUAAGAAAUAGAAAACAGAGGGGGCAAAUGAAACUAAAGUCAACCAUAUCAAUAAUUACAUUAAAUGUUAAUGGGCUAAACAUUGCAAUUAAAAGGCAGAGAUUGUCAGAAUAGAUUUUUUUUGUAAAAAAGAUGUAACUAUUUGCAGUGUGCAAGAGAAGUAUUUUAAAGUCACAGAUAAGUUUUAAAUAAUGGGUGAAAAAUUAUAAACAUUCAAAAGCUGGAGAGACUAUCUCACCAGAUAAAAUAGACUUCAAGACAAAAGGUAUUACCAGAGAUAAAGGGGGACAUUUUAUAAUGGUAGAAGGGUUGACUCAUCAGGAAGGGAAAAUACUCCUAUGUAUUUAUGUGUAUGCAACAUAAAACAGUAAUUCAAACACACGAAGCAAAAAUUCACAGAAUUAAAGGGAGAAAUAGAUAAUAUUGAUUCUAUUAAUAUAAUCAGAGAUGGAGAUUUCAUCAGUGAAAAUGGAGUUUCAUCUCCAGGACAAAUGGGUUUGGGAGGUUAGCCCCCUAAACAAGUGCUGGUCUGUGAGCUGCGGUGAGACACCUCAAAGAAGAAGCCAGGAGGCAGCCAAGUAGCCGUUCAACAGAACCUGGAGAGGUCCUUUGAGGCCGGCACACUGAUGGCCCCAGGUGAUUGUCGUGGACAGCCUGCAGCCCAGCUCUCCCCUGAGGUGGGGAGGCAGUCGCUGAGGCUGUUGAAGCUGGUUCUGAAGAUAGGGGUGAUAAAGUCCAAGUGGCAAUGGUUACUUUUGUGGGCUAUUCUGGAACAAGAGGCCAAGUUGUGGAGUGGAAAGCAACAGUGAAGGCCAAAAAGAGCUUCCCGCCGUUCAUCAUUAGCAGCUAAACCUGACGAGGAGGGCUCAGGCGUCAACAAUCACAACAAAAGCUAACCUUUCCCUUAAUCAUUGCCAAGAACUGAUGGGGUCUGAAGAAGCAAGAGGCAGCCCAAUGCUUAUCAAACUUGAGUGUGCAGCAGAAUCACCUGGAGGGCUUGUUAAAACAGAAUGCUGGGCCCCAUGCCCAGAAUUUCUGAUUCAGCAGGUAUGAGGUGGGAUCAGAUGCUGAUGCUGCUGGUCUGGAGAUACACUUGGAGAACCACUAAGCUGUCUUCCAGGAGCCUGAGGAUUUACCCCAUGUGGACCUUACAACUGACCAUCACAAGCCAAGCACGAGACAGGAUGGAGACUGGUGAAAAAGAAGGAACACCUUCUGGAGUUUCACCCAGGAAGAUCUAGUUCUGCUUGUGCCUGAAGGGAAAGAAGACCAGGGAUCCAGGCCUUCCUUCUCCCUCAUGUGAGUGACCGUAAUCCAUGGGGGAAUUCAUCUCUUGCCCUCACCAUGGCCAAGGUCUGCUCUACACAUGGGCCCAGAGGCCACACUUUUAGUACUUCAGAGAAGCUGAUGAUGGAAUCUGUGACAUGGGAGGUCUUUCAUCCUGAGGCAAGGGUAUGAGUUCUGCCAGCCCUCUGCACCAUCUGGAAGCAACGUUGGGACUAUUUGCAGGUUCACAAAUGGUAGUUGAUUGUUUCAUGGCAUCAAAGACUUAAUUUGAGCCUUAAUGGAGAGAGCAGACUAAUGAAGAUUGAGGAAACAUGGCCUAUAAGAACAAAAUGUGCUGAAUUUGAGUAAAGCUACACAUUCUACACGUUGUGGUCAGCACUCAGAACACUGUGGGUAGGCAGAGCUGGAACCAAUGUCCACAGAUAACUCUCCAACUUUAUUUUAUCCUCCUUUUUACCUUCUCACAGACCAGUCUUGUCAUAAUUACCUUGGUUAUACAAUCCUUGUUUGUAUCUCCAGAGAGAUAGCCAUGUUUGGAAGAAAGAACAUAAGUCCCCAAGUCUGAAGGAGUUCCAAAAAGAAGGAAAUGUGUAACAGUGAAAAGUUGUGGGGUUUUGACUCAGUCAGGCUUCAGUUCCAACCCUUGUUAUGUCAUAUGCUAUCUAUGAGAACUUUAUAGCUUCUCUGAGUUUCAGUUUGCACAGUUCAAAAUGGAACAGAUAGCAUCUAUCCUGUUAGAUUGUUAUAAAAAUCAUUAAAACAUAUGUAAAGCAUUAAAAAGCUGGCUCAUAUUAGGUAUUGAAUAAAUGGCAAGUAUUAAUAUCUGUAAAAUGAAGGUAUUUCAUAAUACCCAACUUUGCAAUAUGGUGGUGAAAAGGAAAGGGGAAUGCUUUUGGCCUGUAGCAGAUGUCUAAUAAAUGGUAGUUGUUA